rnacentral:rRNA from 1 species
CCCUUAGAUGUCCUGGGCCGCACGCGCGUUACACUGAUGCAUUCAACGAGCUUAUAACCUUGGCCGAGAGGCCUGGGCAAUCUUGUUAACGUGCAUCGUGAUAGGGAUAGAUUAUUGAAAUUAUUAAUCUUGAACGAGGAAUUCCUAGUAAACGCAGAUCAUCAAUCUGCAUUGAUUACGUCCCUGCCCUUUGUACACACCGCCCGUCGCACCUACCGAUUGGAUGGUCCGGUGAAGCCUCGGGAUUGUGGUUCUAGCCGCUUUAUUGUGGCGUGACCGCGAGAACUUGUCUAAACCUUAUCAUCUAGAGGAAGGUGAAGUCGUAACA